GACGAACGCUGGCGGCGUGCCUAACACAUGCAAGUCGAACGGAACUGGUUUGAAAGUUUUCUUCGGAAUGAAGUUGAUUUAGUGUAGUGGCGGACGGGGGAGUAACGCGUGAGUAACCUGCCUUCAAGAGGGGAAUAACAUUCUGAAAAGAAUGCUAAUACCGCAUGACAUAUCGGAACCACAUGGUUUUGAUAUCAAAGAUUUUAUCGCUUGAAGAUGGACUCGCGUCCGAUUAGUUAGUUGGUGAGGUAACGGCUCACCAAGACCGCGAUCGGUAGCCGGACUGAGGGGUUGAGCGGCCACCUUGGGAGUGAGGCACCGGCCAGACUCCUACGGGAGGCAGCAGUGGGGUAUAUUGCGCAAUGGGGGCAAACCUGACGCAGCAACGCCGCGUGAAGGAUGAAGGUUUUCGGAUUGUAAACUUCUUUUAUUAAGGACGAAAAAUGACGGUACUUAAUGAAUAAGCUCCGGCUAACUACGUG
rnacentral:rRNA from 1 species